rnacentral:rRNA from 1 species
GACGAACGCUGGCGGCGUGCUUAACACAUGCAAGUCGAACGGAAAGGCCCUGCUUUUGUGGGGUGCUCGAGUGGCGAACGGGUGAGUAACACGUGAGUAACCUGCCCUUGACUUUGGGAUAACUUCAGGAAACUGGGGCUAAUACCGGAUAGGAGCUCCUGCUGCAUGGUGGGGGUUGGAAAGUUUCGGCGGUUGGGGAUGGACUCGCGGCUUAUCAGCUUGUUGGUGGGGUAGUGGCUUACCAAGGCUUUGACGGGUAGCCGGCCUGAGAGGGUGACCGGCCACAUUGGGACUGAGAUACGGCCCAGACUCCUACGAGAGGCAGCAGUGGGGAAUAUUGCACAAUGGGCGGAAGCCUGAUGCAGCAACGCCGCGUGCGGGAUGACGGCCUUCGGGUUGUAAACCGCUUUCGCCUGUGACGAAGCGUGAGUGACGGUAAUGGGUAAAGAAGCACCGGCUAACUACGUGCCAGCAGCCGCGGUGAUACGUAGGGUGCGAGCGUUGUCCGGAUUUAUUGGGCGUAAAGGGCUCGUAGGUGGUUGAUCGCGUCGAAAGUGUAAUCUUGGGGCUUAACCCUGAGCGUGCUUUCGAUACGGGUUGACUUGAGGAAGGUAGGGGAGAAUGGAAUUCCUGGUGGAGCGGUGGAAUGCGCAGAUAUCAGGAGGAACACCAGUGGCGAAGGCGGUUCUCUGGGCCUUUCCUGACGCUGAGGAGCGAAAGCGUGGGGAGCGAACAGGCUUAGAUACCCUGGUAGUCCAUGCUGUAAACGGUGGGUACUAGGUGUGGGGUCCAUUCCACGGGUUCCGUGCCGUAGCUAACGCUUUAAGUACCCCGCCUGGGGAGUACGGCCGCAAGGCUAAAACUCAAAGGAAUUGACGGGGCCCCGCACAAGCGGCGGAGCAUGCGGAUUAAUUCGAUGCAACGCGUAGAACCUUACCUGGGUUUGACAUGGAUCGGGAGUGCUCAGAGAUGGGUGUGCCUCUUUUGGGGUCGGUUCACAGGUGGUGCAUGGCUGUCGUCAGCUCGUGUCGUGAGAUGUUGGGUUAAGUCCCGCAACGAGCGCAACCCUUGUUCACUGUUGCCAGCACGUUAUGGUGGGGACUCAGUGGAGACCGCCGGGGUCAACUCGGAGGAAGGUGGGGAUGACGUCAAGUCAUCAUGCCCCUUAUGUCCAGGGCUUCACGCAUGCUACAAUGGCUGGUACAGAGAGUGGCGAGCCUGUGAGGGUGAGCGAAUCUCGGAAAGCCGGUCUCAGUUCGGAUUGGGGUCUGCAACUCGACCUCAUGAAGUCGGAGUCGCUAGUAAUCGCAGAUCAGCAACGCUGCGGUGAAUACGUUCCCGGGGCU